rnacentral:rRNA from 1 species
AAGUUGUUGCGGUUAAAAGCUCGUAGUUGGAUUUCUGUCCAAGACGGUCGGUCCGCUCUUUGAGCGUGUAUCUGAUUCGGCUUUGGCAUCCUCGUGGGGGACGUAACUGUGCUUGAUUGCAUGGUGCGGAAUUCACGACUUUUACUUUGAGGAAAUUAGAGUGUUCACGGCAGGCAAGCGCCUUGAAUAUAUUAGCAUGGAAUAAUAAUAUAGGACUUUGGUUCUAUUUUGUUGGUUUCUAGGACUAAAGUAAUGAUUAAUAGGGAUAAUUGGGGGCAUUUGUAUUAACGCGUCAGAGGUGGAAUUCUUGUAUUGCGUUACGACAAACUACUGCGAAAGCAUUUGCCAAGGAUGUUUUCAUUGAUCAAGAACGAAAGUAUGGGGAUCG